rnacentral:lncRNA from 1 species
GAUUUUAUCAGUAUUUAUUACCGCUGGUGCCAGCAGUUUAGAAGACUAGAGAGAAGGAAAACAUGCAAACUAGGAGGAGAAAAAAAAAAAUUAAAGCCAGGUCCUCAUGCCUACAAACAACACAGCCUGCUGAUCUUUAAGAGGUAUUCCCUAUGGUGCCAAGGGAGCCUAAAUUAUCAAUUAUCAAUCAAUAAAAAUUUAUAGGACUCUGUUACUGCUUAUAAUCUUUUGUUAUCUGUGAGCUCGGGGGUGGGUAUUUCUAAACCAGGGAGGGCACUGCCCUCACAGGUGCUAUAAGCAGUAACUAGGGCUGCAGGCACUGGAGCAGCCUGACCAUGCCCGCCCAGCCUCCCUUCCCAGCCGACACUCCAACCAGCUUCAACCUAGCUUGUUCCAAGCCAGUUUAUUCCAAUGACUUGACUCUCACCAGC